UACGGAGGGUGCAAGCGUUAUCCGGAUUCACUGGGUUUAAAGGGUGCGUAGGUGGGCAAGUAAGUCAGUGGUGAAAUCUCCGGGCUUAACCCGGAAACUGCCAUUGAUACUAUUUGUCUUGAAUACUGUGGAGGUCAGCGGAAUAUGUCAUGUAGCGGUGAAAUGCUUAGAUAUGACAUAGAACACCAAUUGCGUAGGCAGCUGGCUACACAAAUAUUGACACUGAGGCACGAAAGCGUGGGGAUCAAGCAGG
rnacentral:rRNA from 1 species